CACCUUCCGGGGUUCCUAAGCCGCGGGGCCCCUCGCUGCCCCUCGAGGCCCCUUCCCUGACCUAGGCUUUGGCCUGGGCUACUCGUUCCGGAGCCGCCAUGUCGUCCGACUUCGAAGGUUACGAGCAGGACUUCGCGGUGCUCACUGCAGAGAUCACCAGCAAGAUUGCGAGGGUCCCACGACUCCCGCCUGAUGAAAAGAAACAGAUGGUUGCAAAUGUGGAGAAACAGCUUGAAGAAGCGAAAGAACUGCUUGAACAGAUGGAUUUGGAAGUCCGAGAGAUACCACCCCAAAGUCGAGGGAUGUACAGCAACAGAAUGAGAAGCUACAAACAAGAAAUGGGAAAACUCGAAACAGAUUUUGUGAGUCAAAUUCGACCCUUUGUCAUAUUUACUUUUUUAAAAAAUGUUUCCUCCUCAUGCCUCAGUCAGCAUGAAAUGCACAGUCUUUUGGGCUCAUGUA
rnacentral:sRNA from 1 species